AACGCACCUUGCGCUCCUUGGUAUUCCGAGAAGCAUGCCUGUUUGAGUGUCAUGAUAUUCUCAAAUCUCAUUACCUUUGAAAGAAGGUUGGUGAGAUUUGGAUUGUUGGAGUGUGCUAGACUUGUAACAAGUUUCGAGCUACUCUUGAAUGCAUUAGCGAUCCUUAUAAAAAGGGGCUUCAUUUGGUUUGAUAGUUGUCUAUGCCAUUUAAGACCCGACAUUGGAAAGCUUCUAAUGAGUCUUUUGUUUCUCUUUGUGACCUCAAAUCAGGUAGGACUACCCGCUGAACUUAA
rnacentral:misc_RNA from 1 species